rnacentral:rRNA from 1 species
AAUGACUCUCGGCAACGGAUAUCUCGGCUCAUGCAUCGAUGAAGAACGUAGCAAAAUGCGAUACUUGGUGUGAAUUGCAGAAUCCCGUGAACCAUCGAGUUUUUGAACGCAAGUUGCGCCCAAAGCCUUUUGGUUGAGGGCACGUCUGCUUGGGCGUCACAAAU